rnacentral:rRNA from 1 species
UGGGGGAUAUUGCACAAUGGGCGAAAGCCUGAUGCAGCGACGCCGCGUGGGGGAUAAAGGCCUUCGGGUUGUAAACUUCUUUUGCUCUGAACAAGGCAUGCUUUUGGGGUGUGUUGAGUGUAGGGGUUGAUUAGCGCCGGCUAACUACGUGCCAGCAGCCGCGGUAAUACGUAGGGCGCGAGCGUUGUCCGGAAUUAUUGGGCGUAAAGGGCUUGUAGGUGGCUGGUUGCGUCUGUCGUGAAAGCUCAUGGCUUAACUGUGGGUUUGCGGUGGGUACGGGCUGGCUUGAGUGCAGUAGGGGAGGCUGGAAUUCCUGGUGUAGCGGUGGAAUGCGCAGAUAUCAGGAGGAAUACCGGUGGCGAAGGCGGGUCUCUGGGCUGUUACUGACGCUGAGGAGCGAAAGCGUGGGGAGCGAACAGG